CCUGAUCAGCCAUGCCGCGUGUGUGAAGAAGGCCUUAUGGUUGUAAAGCACUUUAAGCGAGGAGGAGGCUACUGAGACUAAUACUCUUGGAUAGUGGACGUUACUCGCAGAAUAAGCACCGGCUAACUCUGUGCCAGCAGCCGCGGUAAUACAGAGGGUGCGAGCGUUAAUCGGAUUUACUGGGCGUAAAGCGUGCGUAGGCGGCUUUUUAAGUCGGAUGUGAAAUCCCCGAGCUUAACUUGGGAAUUGCAUUCGAUACUGGGAAGCUAGAGUAUGGGAGAGGAUGGUAGAAUUCCAGGUGUAGCGGUGAAAUGCGUAGAGAUCUGGAGGAAUACCGAUGGCGAAGGCAGCCAUCUGGCCUAAUACUGACGCUGAGGUACGAAAGCAUGGGGAGCAAACAGGAUUAGAUACCCUGGUAGA
rnacentral:rRNA from 1 species